CUGGUAAUAAACAAGUUUUCUUGCUCAACUGCUACUUGGCUUUGGACCUUCUUCAUUUCCUGGAAGGAAAACUUGCCUCAUCAUGUUGGUUCUUGUGUGCACCUCUGCUGACCGAGUACCGAUUCUCGUCCUAAAAAAGGGAUUGAUAAAGAAGCAACCUACCCGUCCAGGGAGAGAUCGUUCACCAAGGGACAAAAGAAGAUGGGUAAAUUCAGCCUCAGCUUCUGCCAACUCCUGGUGCAGGCGAGCUCUGGAAGUAUUUGCAGCAUCAACCUUCUUCCUAUAAACCUCUAGGCAUUCCUGUUCUAGGUCCAGCAGUACCUUCUCCCUUUCAAAGUGAUCUUGUCCAACUUCAUUCCAAAUCAUCUGUCCAUUCACAUUGAAGAACAGAAAAACAAAAAAAAACAAAACAAAACAAAAGAAGUUCCAGAAUGAGAACGAUUCAAAGCCAUUAGUUAUCUGAUAAAACUAGAAGAAAAUCUUGCCUGCAGUUCUUGAAGCAGGUAUCCACAUGAAGUUUCGAGAAGAUUGGAGCUUCGCAUUCCUAUCGGUGUUUGAAAUGAACCCAUCUGAAUAUGGUUCCUUCAGAGAAACUCAGGCUGCUGAUAAGGUUAGUUCCUUGACAUGCAGCAAGCUAAGUUGAGGGGGCAGUGUUGAAAGAGUGGAAAGAGAAAGAGUGGGAAGUUCCUUGUUAAGCACCCAAUGACUCAGAGAGGGAGGCAGAGUGUGUAUGUGUUCUGGUGGACCUCUGGGUGUGAGUUUUGCUUGAAAGACAAGGGUGGCAAAGGUAGGUAAUGCCCAAGCUUUGGGUUCAAGGAUCAGCAGUUCUUUUAGAACCUUGAGCUUUUUGUGACUUUCCCUUUCCCUUUCCCUCUACCAUUAUUUGAAUUUAAACAUGGAAUUCUUUUAGUU